UACGAAGGAUUCGAGCGUUAUCCGGAUUUAUUGGGUUUAAAGGGUGCGUAGGCGGACCGAUAAGUCAGUGGUGAAAUCCUGUUGCUUAACAACAGAACUGCCAUUGAUACUGCCGGUCUUUGAGUACAGUUGAGGUAGGCGGAAUGUGUCAUGUAGUGGUGAAAUACUUAGAUAUGACACAGAACACCGAUUGCGAAGGCAGCUUGCUAAACUGUAACUGACGCUGAGGCACGAAAGCAUGGGGAGCAAACAGG
rnacentral:rRNA from 1 species